rnacentral:rRNA from 1 species
UGAACGCUAGCGACAGGCCUAACGACAUGCAAGUCAGGGGCAGCACAAGGAGCAAUCUGAGGUGGCGACCGGCGCACGGGUGAGUAACACGUAUGCAACCUGCCUGUAAGCGGGGAAUAACCCGUUGAAAGACGGACUAAUACCGCAUAAUACUAAAUUACUGCAUGGUAAUUUAUUUAAACAUUUAUGGCUUACAGAUGGGCAUGCGCAUGAUUAGCUAGUUGGAGAGGUAACGGCUCCCCAAGGCAACGAUCAUUAGGGGUUCUGAGAGGAAGGUCCCCACACUGGUACUGAGACACGGACCAGACUCCUACGGGAGGCAGCAGUGAGGAAUAUUGGUCAAUGGACGAGAGUCUGAACCAGCCAAGUCGCGUGCAGGAAGAAUGUCCUUAAUGGAUUGUAAACUGCUUUUGCAGGGGAAUAAAGUGCAUCACGUGUGAUGUUUUGUAUGUACUCUGCGAAUAAGGAUCGGCUAACUCCGUGCCAGCAGCCGC